rnacentral:rRNA from 1 species
AUGACAAAGUCAGGGACUUUCACGGUGCGAUAUGCAUACCAUACAGAAUGGGUGUUUCAAUUUGGGCACAAGUUGGAAUCAACGGCUGGAGUUUCAAACCCAUAUUAUACAUGGGACUCGGUAUGGAACUUAGUCUGCCCAGCAAAGAUAAAAAUAUUUAUGUGGCGCGCGCUCCAGAGUGCUAUUCCCUGUCGAUCUAUCCUGGCUAAUAAGCACUUGAAAAUAAAUCCGAGUUGCCCAGCCUAUAACCAGGGGCCUGAUGACAUAAGACAUAUGUUGUUCGAAUGCAAAUUGGCAAUGGACGUGUGGAAGAUGCUCGGUCUUGAGCUUGUUAUCAAACAGGCACUGAAAGUUGACAAGGUAGGUGAGCUUGUGUUGGCACAUCUUCUGUGCCUUCCAGAACAACAAAUCCAAGUGUUGGGCUUGCCUAAGUUUAGAGAAACGAUGGCAAUGACAGCUUGGUAUUUGUGGUAUGAAAGG